GGACUAAGAAUAGGAGAGUGUGUCGGUGUGUUUGCUCUCGUGGUACGGUCGUCGUCGGUGCGGGCUCCUUUAGGUGUCGAGCGUCGGCAGCCUGCGGCGGUAGGCGCGCUUCCCGGCGGCGGGCGUGGAGGGUGGUGUCGUGCGGCGUUACCUCCGGCUGGCGGGUACCGUAGCGGGCUCGAGUGGAGGGUCAUCAGCAUGAGGAAACUUAAGCAGCCGUAGGCCGAUCUAGGCCUGCGGUCGCGGGGCAAGGAUGAAGGCGCGGAGCGAACCCAGCAGCCGGUGGAGCUGCUACACUAUGGCGAGCGCCCUAGGUUGCGGUGGCGACCGAUCGGUGAAGGAGGACCUCCUCUGCGGGGGUGUAGGCACGGAGGGGUGUACUCGUCGUCGUUGUUUGCGGAGCGAUACCCGCAGAGACCACCACGAAAAAGAACAUUAAAAAAAUUUCUUCAAACGGUCUAGACACGCACUUUUUGUUACCGCAACUUGAGACUAACUACAGGGCGCUUCCGACCCGCCGCGAACUACGCCACCGACGUCUUAUAGAGACCCGUUUUAUCAUCCGGUCUAGAUCCCCUUUUUUAACAUUAAGGUUCAAAAACCAACACAUAAAGAAGGAAAGCCAUUUUUAUUUUAAAUCAAUAGA
rnacentral:rRNA from 1 species